rnacentral:rRNA from 1 species
CCUACGGGGGGCAGCAGUGGGGAAUAUUGGACAAUGGGGGGAACCCUGAUCCAGCCAUGCCGCGUGUGUGAAGAAGGCCCUCGGGUUGUAAAGCACUUUCAGUGAGGAAGAACGCCUGGUGGUUAAUACCCAUCAGGAAAGACAUCACUCACAGAAGAAGCACCGGCUAACUCCGUGCCAGCAGCCGCGGCAAUACGGAGGGUGCGAGCGUUAAUCGGAAUUACUGGGCGUAAAGCGCGCGUAGGUGGCUUGAUAAGCCGGUUGUGAAAGCCCCGGGCUCAACCUGGGAACGGCAUCCGGAACUGUCAAGCUAGAGUGCAGGAGAGGAAGGUAGAAUUCCCGGUGUAGCGGUGAAAUGCGUAGAGAUCGGGAGGAAUACCAGUGGCGAAGGCGGCCUUCUGGACUGACACUGACACUGAGGUGCGAAAGCGUGGGUAGCAAACAGGAUUAGAUACCCUGGUAGUC